rnacentral:tRNA from 1 species
AAGGGUAUAACUCAGUGGUAGAGAACAUGCUUAGCAUGCACGAGGUCAUGGGUUCAAUCCCUAGUACCUCUU